rnacentral:rRNA from 1 species
AUUGAACGCUGGCGGCAGGCCUAACACAUGCAAGUCGAGCGAGCGGCGGACGGGUGAGUAAUGUCUGGGAAACUGCCUGAUGGAGGGGGAUAACUACUGGAAACGGUAGCUAAUACCGCAUACCAUCAGAUGAACCCAGAUGGGAUUAGCUAGUUGGUGGGGUAACGGCUCACCAAGGCGACGAUCCCUAGCUGGUCUGAGAGGAUGACCAGCCACACUGGAACUGAGACACGGUCCAGACUCCUACGGGAGGCAGCAGUGGGGAAUAUUGCACAAUGGGCGCAAGCCUGAUGCAGCCAUGCCGCGUGUAUGAAGAAGGCCUUAGGGUUGUAAAGUACUUUCAGCGGGGAGGCGUUACCGGCAGAAGAAGCACCGGCUAACUCCGUGCCAGCAGCCGCGGUAAUAC